rnacentral:rRNA from 1 species
GACGAACGCUGGCGGCGUGCCUAAUACAUGCAAGUAGAACGCACAGUUUAUACCGUAGCUUGCUACACCAUAGACUGUGAGUUGCGAACGGGUGAGUAACGCGUAGGUAACCUGCCUGGUAGCGGGGGAUAACUAUUGGAAACGAUAGCUAAUACCGCAUAAUAUUAAUUAUUGCAUGAUAAUUAAUUGAAAGGUGCAAUUGCACCACUACCAGAUGGACCUGCGUUGUAUUAGCUAGUAGGUGAGGUAACGGCUCACCUAGGCGACGAUACAUAGCCGACCUGAGAGGGUGAUCGGCCACACUGGGACUGAGACACGGCCCAGACUCCUACGGGAGGCAGCAGUAGGGAAUCUUCGGCAAUGGACGAAAGUCUGACCGAGCAACGCCGCGUGAGUGAAGAAGGUUGUCGGAUCGUAAAGCUCUGUUGUAGGAGAAGAACGGGUGUGAGAGUGGAAAGUUCACACUGUGACGGUAUCUUAACAGAAAGGGACGGCUAACUACGUG